GUAACGGCGAGUGAACGAGGAACACACAGGGCUCGGCCCGAACCGGAUUAUCUCUUCCCUGCGCGGCACACAGAACAACCUCCUUCUGUCGCCACAGUCGGGCACGUCGCCGUGGGUCGCCUUCGGGCGGCGAACGUGCGGAGUGCGUCGGCCCUGUGGACAACUGCGGGGAGCAGUGGUCGCGACCGGCUAUCGUGGUAAUUCCAGCAGAUGCUGUGGGCUGUGGAGCGGGUGGCUGUGCGGCGGUGGUCGCGGCCCCAGGAGGAACCCUGGAAGGGGUCACCACCGAGGGCUACCGUCCCGUACGCCGGCAGUUGUGCCGCGGCUCGCCGUCGCGCGGCCGCCCGUAUCCAAGAGUAGAGUGGCUUGGGACUGCAGUUUGAAGCGCGGCGUGUAUCCGCCGCAAGGAAGCAUACAGACCUGGGACCGAUAGCGCACAAGUAGAGUGAUCGAAGGAUGCAAAGAACUCCGCGAAGAGGGUUAAAAGUUCCUGAAGCCUCGGCAGGAACGGUGGUGAACGGUGCUGUGGCUGUGCGAACCCUGUUCGUCGCGGGUGGCGUUCCCGGUGCGUGCGUGGGUGUGGCGUGCGUGACUGCGGCUGCGGGUGCGAAAGAGAACCGCACCGCCCGAGCGCCCCGCACCCGGCCGCCCGCCGGCGAGCUCCCCCCUAURUGYGACACRGGGUGCCUCCCUGUGGUUUCGUGUAUAUCAGCAGAACAACAAACAGMGAAGGCUGACGSUGUUGUGCAAUGUGAUYCCUCUCGUCAACCAARCGACCUCGGGCCARCCCCGGGCCGGCCGCCGAGCCCCCGUCCCAGGGCGGGGAUGSCCAUUGCGGCGGCACCUGCGGGKGGCACUCCGCGUGUCGGGGSCCGAGGSCCGACCAGCGAUCCCUCUUGAAGCAUAURCAURCGUGGSGCUUGCUUUGUGUUUUUUUUUCWCGCCMCCAGGGGGSCACGUGGUCCCCUCCUGCCCCCYGCGAACGCSCCMUCUGUGGGCUGUCCAGGAGUGUGGGUCACAGGCCCCCSAAAGGCMCGGGGAAARCCUCAGCAGCGCAUCAGCAGAGCAUCAGCAUYGGCAGAGCAUCAGCAGUUAUAGMGUAGCCCAGCCAGCCCCYGGCGUGUYUCCGGACGUGCCAGUCACCACGGCGCCAGCCUGGAACACCGCGCCCUYGCACGCGCACCCCCUCGGGGGCUCGCGGGKGGGGUCGCGGCGGGGCCCCCCGGACGGUGUGCGGCUGCACNNNNNNNNNNNNNNNNNNNNNNNNNNNNNNNNNNNNNCCUGGGUCAGCCCGGGGCUGGGCACUGAGCUCCCCAUCUCCAGAUGGGAAUGACCAUCGUGGCAGCUCUGCGGUGGCAGGUCCGCCCUGUCAGGACCUGGGGUUCCCCAGUGAAAGAAGUCUUCAUCCUCUCAGUGAUGUGGCUCUGGAUGCGCAGCAGACCUGGCCUUCAACGGCAGCUGUGGAAGUGGGACACACAGCCCAGAGAGAGAGAGAGAGUCAUCUCCCCUGUGUGACACCCAUGACCCCUGCUGCUGGCGAUGGCCCGGAAUGCUUGAAUCGUGUAGUAKCUGCUUGUCCUUGACCCCGGUGUGUCUCCGGACAUGUCGGUCKCUGGCGGUCGAUCUGGAUGGGGUGUGCUUGGCUACACUGGGGACUGCACCAUCUUGAUGGUGGUCACCGUGUUCGGCUGCACCGCCUCCCAGCUUGGCCCCAGUGAGAAAUGGCAGCGGAGCUUGGCACUUCCUCGCAGUGCUGCUCUCUGCCCGUCUUGAAACACGGACCAAGGAGUCUAAGGAGCUUGCUUGUUGGAUGGCUGAUACUCGAAACCUCUCUGAGGCGUGGUGAAGGCAACGUCCACUUCCAGAUGGGCUUGAUAUCUCUGCAUGGAAUGACCGGACCCGAAGUCCAGCGGACAGGGUUUUGAGUGCUUGCAAGGUCCUUGGGACCCGAAAGGUGGUGAACUAUACCGUUCUACGACGAAGCCAUGGGAAACUGUGGUGGAAGUCGGUCGCUGUUCUGACGUGCAAAUUGUGUAGCCUGAGUGCAGCAUAGKGGUGAAAAGGCCAAUCGAGCCAYCUAGUAGCUGGUUCCCUUCWAKUUUCNNNNNNNNNNNNNNNNNNNNNNNNNNNNNNNNNNNNNNNNNNNNNNNNNNNNNNNNNGAGUCUAUGGAGCUUGCCAGUCGUCUGGAGCAGACGCACGCGAGUGCGGCGCUCAGACCAGCAGUGCAUGGUGAAGGCAACGUGGCUGUACCCUCGCCGGUGACGCACCCGUGCGUCACCGGAGUGAGAGGCGGACAUCAUCACGGCGUGGGUCAGACGGACGCGCCCCGCGCGCCCCGCACGGCCCCACCGGACCCGCAGUCCAGCGGACAGGGUUUCGAGUGAAUGCAAGGUCCAUGGGACCCGAAAGGUGGUGAACUAUACCAUUCUACGACGAAGCCAUGGGAAACUGUGGUGGAAGUCGGUCGCUGUUCUGACGUGCAAAUCGUGUAGCCUGAGAGUGGCAUAGGGGUGAAAGGCCAAUCGAGCCACCUAGUAGCUGGUUCCCUUCGAAGUUUCCCUCAGGAUAGCUGGGCUCGAAUGCAAGAGACGAAGAAGAGACGCCGUGUUACGCGCAGUGACCGCGGUUACGUCCGGUAAAGCAACGCACGAGAGGCACAACUCCGGGGGGGUCCAUCCCCUCGACCUAUCCUCGAACUGUGAAUGGGCGUGGUGCCAGGCAUGCUCCUUCGCCAACGUCGGGAGGCCGUGAAGGGGCUCGCGCAGACCCAUCGCGGUGCUCCGCAGACCUCUGAGCGUGUUGCGACUGGCCCCCCGCCUGACGGGGGGCGACCUUGCGAGAACGCACGUGCCCAUGUGGGCCAUUACUGGUAAGCAGUGCUGGCGAUGCGGGGUGCUCCGAGAGCGGAUCUACAGAACCCGAGUGCUGGCUCAUACUCAGAUCCCACAAAGGAUGUUGCUUGCUCUGGAUAGCAGGACGGUGGCCAUGAAGGUUGGAACCCGCUGAGGAAUGUGUAACAACUCACCUGCCGAAGCGUGCAGCUCCGAAAAUGGAUGGUGCCCAAGCCAGCGCAGACAUACCCUCUGACGAUCCGCCGGCGCUGUGGUGUGGAGAAGUGGUUGUCACGCAGGCCGGAAGCAGAGCAUCGCCGUGUAGAAAGGGCUCGGGCGACCGCCGUGCGGGUCGGGGCUGCCCCCGUUCCCCCUCCUCGAGCGUCGCCCGGCGCAGAUCUUGGUUGCAGUAGCGAGUACUCCAUCGGGUGAAGAGCGGCCAAACAUCACAGCCCCGCUGUGCGCGGUUGAGGACUGGAGUGGAGCAGGCUUCCACACCAACAGCCGUUGAAUGUGGGUCAGCCGACCGUGAGCCAAGUGGUAAGUUCACCGAACAACCAAAGCUGCCGAAGCGCGCUCGGAAGAGGACCCACGCGGUGUCGUGACGAUGUGGAGGUCCCAUCUCCGGAUGUGUGUGAGUGCUGUGUGGGGGAGAGCUGGAGAGGGUCUGUGACGGUCGCGCCCGCCCGCUUGCCGUGGUCCCCGUAGUGGGAGUGCCACGCGAACGGUGCGUCUUCCGCGUUGAUGAUGUGGCGCGACCCGCAGCAGCACCCACCCAACCACCAACGGUGUCGUUGGCCCUCCCUCUCCCCACAGCCCACGCGAAGGGCACCACAUGGUCACCGCGCGUCGGGCAGGAGUGGCAAACAGGCAAGGAGUCGCAAGAUUCUCCUGUGAUGGGCUUGGGGGUGCUGGCGGCGGCGACGCCCCCAGUACACGAAGUAGCAUGCCAGCAGGCUUAGGGGCAGUGGAGCCCCCGGGGAGUUCUAUCGUUUCCUCCUGAUGCAGACCCAUGUGGGCUAUCGAUUGGCACGACAACUGGUGGUGUAGAGUCCUCCGCUCAGCAAGGCAGUGCGGCCUCCGCGCUGGUGGUUCCCUCUUGAAGUACGCUGUUCCCUCUUGAAGCCUGUGGCCCACGGGCGUGGGCGACGACCCCCCGUCGCGCCCUCCCCGUGUGGUCACGCACCGAAGACACAAACAUGGCUGUCACUGGCUCCAAUGAAAGGCCUGUGGGCUAUCGGACGCGCCCCAGAUCCCUUGUGUUCGUACUGCAUCACCGCAGCAGGUCUCCUCGACAUGAAGUCGCUAGUCAACGGACGAAAUGCAGCUAAGGGAAGUCGGCAAACUGGCUGUGCACCCUCGGAAGAUGCAGUGGCUCCAGAGGCCAGGCUAUUGGGCCCUUCCGGGGGCGGCGUGGCCUGCUCGGGGGCGAGCGCCCUGACGGGGCGUCCACUUCGUGUGGAUGCUCUGUGGGGCUGACCGCCCUCGGCCCGCGCCGCCCCUCCGGCAGGGGCCGGACGCGCGUUGCGUGUGCCCCUCGCGGGCGUGCGUGACGCGGCCGGCCGCCCCCGUGGCUACGCAGUGGCCCAUGUGGAACUGUUGCCGUGCAGGGGAAUCUGACUGUUUAAUUGAAACCCAGCUUCGGGAUGGGGUCCCGCCGGCUGGCCCCCCGAGGUGACUUCUGCCCAGUGCUCUGAUUGUCAAUCCGAAGAGAUUCAGCCAAGCGCGGGUAAACGGCGGGAGUAACUAUGACUCUCUUAAGGUAGCCAAAUGCCUCGUCAACCAAUUAUUGACGCGCAUGAAUGGAUCAGCGAGAUUCCUGCUGUCCCUAGCCGCUGUCCGGUGAAC
rnacentral:rRNA from 1 species